CUUCCCUCCAAGAACUACCCACCUUUGCUCUUGGGGAGACUCGAACUCACAACCUCUCGGUUGGAAGUGGGGUUGCUUACCAUUAGAGCAAGCCCCUCUUGUCACAAGAGCUAACUUACAGGACUUCAAAUAUGUAGCUUCUCAAAUUCAUCACUUCCAAUAAUUUUUAUCUUAAUUUUCAAGACCGAAUCGGGAGAAACAUCCUCUCAUAGCCUCUCCUGCAAAUCCUUAAAGAUCUCAGGAAUAAUACCUCAAGAACAGGCCAUAGAUAUACAGAAACAUUAUAUUAACAUCUAAAUGCACAUUUAAAAAAGAAAUUCAUCACAGAACAAAGAUACCCGUUAGUUACAUCGUCUUGACACCAAUGAAAUCUAUAAAUCUCCUCUUCUUCUUAUUUAUUUUAUUUUAUCGUUUUUUCUUCUUCACCUAUCGAUACAUUUUCACAUUGAAGCAAAACUAAUUUUAAAAGAUCGAGAACCAUGAUUUUCCGCCUGAUACAUAUCAGCUACUAGGCUUUUUUUAUGAGAAGGAUCGCUUACUUGAAAAGUACCGAUAAGAAUGGACCUUGGGCCUAACUCAACCCCAAAAGCUAGCUUAUGAGGUGAGGAUUGUCCAAGCCAUAUAAGAAGACUAAGGACCUCAAAUCUCUCCGAUAUGGGACAACUCAACAAGUAAAAAGACUUGUUUACGGAGUGAAGGGUUGGAAGUCCCAAGAGAUUGAGAGGGCCUCCAUCCCAAAGAGAAGGAAAACUAGCACACGAAAAUUAAGGGUUAUAAUCAAAUAAAUCUUUGUUUACUGUGAAGGCGUUGAACAUCAGGUUUACACAAGUAACUAAUCUACUCAAUAUGUUGGACCCUCUAUUGCCAAGCAUUUCAAGAUUUUUUUUAGGUUUUGUAUGAAAUUAUUUAUUGCAAGUUCAAGAGUUUAGCAAACUCUCUGCGGCUUUCUCUUAUGUAUUUUUAGCAUCUUAUGCUACUACUUGUCUAUGGAGAUAGAAGAUGUGAUGAACAUAUGUUAGUGAAUAAAAGACAGAAUAGUGAGAUCAUAUUUCAUGGUUUGAGAUGAUAUUAAAUUACUUGAUAUGAGGUUUAGUUCAAGUUCAUCUUGGUGUAGUAAUUUUAAAAAUUGAGGGGUUGGUUCUGUAAUUGAAGGUUAUUUCUGAUGUGAUAAAAGAGGCUUCGAGUUUUAGUUUCAAUACUUGUAUGGUAACUUUGCAAAUUUAGCUAACUAGAUUGUAGUUGUCACACCUCCUUUUUUUUACACACCACCCAGAAGGAUGAUAUAAAGGAAUUUUUUAAAUUUAAGUGACAUUAUUUGAAAUGGAUUAUUUAUUUAUCAGAGUUGCCACUUGGGAUAGUUUAUUUUGAUGUCCCAAGUCACCGGUUUAUUUUAAAUCCCAAAUUGAGGAAAUAUCGACUUUCCUUUUGAAGUCUGCGAACCAAAAAUUCUGAAUAAGUAAUUUUGUUAACCCGAGGGAAGGUGUUAGGCACCCCGGAUUCCCUUAAACUAUUACAAUUGGACUAUUAUCUGAUUUUAAUACAUUUUUCAACCUGUAGUUCAAUUUUGAAUUAUUUAUCGCUUUUAAUUAAUUUUGAGGAAGAUUGAACAUUUAUUAAAAUAUUUCUUUGGAUCGCGUCACAUGAAAUGCACCCGCAAUCCGGAACACAUCUUAUUCGACGUUUUAGGAUUUGGAUUUGGGUCACAUGAAAUGUACACCCGAGUUUAGGAAAGUAAUUUUAUUAAAUAACGCGCCUAAAGCAACUAAAGCUUUGUUAACUUUGCGAUGGCCAUAGAAAUUUGCUAAAUGGCGCGCCUAGAAUUCGAAAUAUCUUAAAAGAAAUAAUUAAAUGAGGGCCAUAAGCUUAAAGUCCCAACUGCACUAACAAAAUCAAACACUAAAGGAUAAUUACGAAACAAAAUACUCUGACAUCAGUUUUAUUGCAACAUUCUAACAAUGUCAGAAGUAGAGUUAUGAGUUAUCAACUUUAAAAUUAAUACAAAAACUUAGAACUUCAGUUUAUAACCAUAGAGGAAGUAGCACGGUACUUAACCAAAAGUGCAGAACAAGAAAAGUCAUUCGACAUUGACAUUAAUGGCGCAUCAAGAGGCAAAAUCUUGAGAAAAGUCCAUAUUUUAAAGAGGAGAGUUUCUUCUAAUAUCAUUCAGAACCACCAUAUGGCAAAACAACAACCCAGUAUAAUCUCACAUAGUGGGUCUGGGGAGGAUAGUAUGUACGCUAACCUUAAUUCUAUCCUGGGAUAGAGAGGCCAUUUCCAAAUAGACCCCGACAUCCUUCCCUCCAAGAACUUCUCACAUUGCUUUUGGAAAGACUCGAACUCACAAUCUCUCGGUUGAAAGUCGGGGUUGCUUAUCAAUCAUAGCAACCCCUCUUGUCUCAUAUGGCAAAACAAUAAGUCCAAAUUAUCUAACUCAUCUAUUUUUUAAUUAUUCUUAUUAUUAAGAAAAGAAAAUCCAGUACCAAGAAAAUACUGCCAAACUAAACGCCCAAGCUUGUUGAUACUGCCAAUCGACAUUUGAAAUUGAAUCAUUUGACAUUAACAAACAAACCCAACUCGCAAUAUCCCAUUUCACUUCUUAUUUGACUACAAAUUAUUUGAAGAUAAUUUUGCAGAUCCAACCAAUUAACUGUUACGAACCCUGAACCAACCGGAUAUUUAUGAAGAAACACAGAAAUUUCAACAGCGAUUUUUUUUAGAACAACAUUUAUACAAUAUAGUUCUAUAUUGUACUUCACAUGUAGAAUAAUUGAGACCUAAUCCUUGCAUUUAACGUUGAAGAAUUUUUGCACAUAGAAAGGACUAAAUACAGCAAACUUAAGAAUGAACAUAGAAAGAAACUGAGACUUCAGGGAACUCACCUUCAUUACUGCUAACAUCAAGAGAAUGACGAUCCAUGGUACGCCAUAAACCUAAUUCUACUAGCAGAGAGACUUGAACUUCAAAGCUAAUAGCUCAACCCAGCAGAAUGAGGACAGCAGCAAAACAAGGAGUUUUCAACUCAAAUAGCUAUGGAAACCAAGAUAUAUGCAGCAACAUAGUAGGAAUUAGAAAACAGCUUUGAAUCUUCUUUUUUUUGGUUUUCUUAGAUAUCGGAAUUUCUUCCCAACUGUUUUUGUGUGUAUUGUAGAUGAGAGAUUGAAGGAGUUUGUUUUGAGAUGAUGGAUAGGAAAAGAAGAAAGGGCGAUCUCGGGGGAGGGGGUCGUGUUUAUUUCGCAGCUUUUUUUUUUU
rnacentral:lncRNA from 1 species